rnacentral:rRNA from 1 species
UCUAUAAGAAUAAUAAUUUAUAGUCUCACCUGCCCACUGAAUUAAUUUUAAAGGGCCGCAGUAAAUUGACUGUGCAAAGGUAGCAUAAUAAAUAGUCUUUUAAUUGAAGACUGGAAUGAAUGGUUUUAUGAAAAAUUAACUGUCUAAUAAUAAUAUUUCGAAUUUUACUUUUAAGUUAAAAGGCUUAAAUAAAUUAAGGUGACGAUAAGACCCUAUAAAACUUUAUAAAUGUAUAAUGACUAGCAAAAUUUAAUAAUUAACUUAUUAUUAUUAUAAUUUAUUGUAUUGGGGCGAUUGAGAUAUAACUAUAAAAGUAGCUGUCUUUAAACAAAAAUAAUUAUAAUUAGAGUAUGAUCCUUUAAUAAAGAUUAAAAGGAAAAGUUACUUUAGGGAUAACAGCGUAAUUUUUUUUGAGAGUUCUUAUCGAUAAAAUUAGUUGCGACCUCGAUGUUGAAUUAAAUUGUCGUUUAAUUGCAGAAGAUUAAAACGAGGGUCUGUUCGACCUUUAAAAAU